GCGCAUAACACAUGCAAGUCGAGUGAGGGCUCAUUUCCCGCAAGGGAGAUGGGUUCCUAGCGGCGAACGGGUGAGUAACACGUGGGCAACCUUUCCUAUCGCGGGGGAUAACAGCGGGAAACCGCUGCUAAUACCGCAUGUAGUCACCGGUCGCAUGGCCGGUGAAAAAAGCAGCAAUGCACGAUAGGGUGGGCCCGCGGCCUAUCAGCUAGUCGGUGGGGUAACGGCCUACCGAGGCGAUGACGGGUAGCUGGUCUGAGAGGACGACGAGCCACACGGGGACUGAGACACGGCCCCGACUCCUACGGGAGGCGGCAGUGAGGAAUCUUCCGCAAUGGGCGAAAGCCUGACGGAGCGACACCGCGUGUGGGAUGAAGUCUUUCGGGAUGUAAACCACUGUUGGAGGGGAAGACUUCGACGGUACCCUCCGAGAAAGCCCCGGCUAACUACGUGCCAGCCGCCGCCGUAA
rnacentral:rRNA from 1 species